AGUGAACGCUGGCGGUAGGCCUAACACAUGCAAGUCGAACGGCAGCACAGUAAGAGCUUGCUCUUACGGGCGGCGAGUGGCGGACGGGUGAGGAAUACAUCGGAAUCUACUUUUUCGUGGGGGAUAACGUAGGGAAACUUACGCUAAUACCGCAUACGACCUACGGGUGAAAGCAGGGGAUCUUCUGACCUUGCGCGAUUGAAUGAGCCGAUGUCGGAUUAGCUAGUUGGCGGGGUAAAGGCCCACCAAGGCGACGAUCCGUAGCUGGUCUGAGAGGAUGAUCAGCCACACUGGAACUGAGACACGGCCCAGACUCCUACGGGAGGACACAGUGGGGAAUAUUGGGCAAAGGGCGCAAGCCUAAUCCAGCCAUACCGCGUGGGUGAAGAACGCCUUCGGGUUGUAAAGCCCUUUUGUUGGGAAAGAAAAGCAGCAGGUUAAUACCCCGCUGUUCUGACGGUACCCAAAGAAUAAGCACCGGCUAACUUCGUG
rnacentral:rRNA from 1 species